GGUGAAAGGAAAAAGGAAAGGAGCUGUUGACAGAAAAAGGAAAGAACGGCUGCUUGGAGGGAAUUGUUUAUAAAUUCAAGCAGCUGUCCUUUCCUUUUUCUGCCAGCAGUUCCUUUCCUUUUUCCUUUCACC
rnacentral:miRNA from 1 species